rnacentral:rRNA from 1 species
AUUGAACGCUGGCGGCAGGCCUAACACAUGCAAGUCGAACGAGUGGCGGACGGGUGAGUAAUGUCUGAGAAACUGCCUGAGGGAUGGGGAUAACUACUGGAAACGGUAGCUAAUACCGCCUAACAUCAUAUGUGCCCAGGUUGGAGUAGCUCGUUGGGGGGGUAACGGCUGACCAGGGCGAAGAUCCCUAGCUGGUCUGAGAGGAUGACCAGCCACACUGGAACUGAGACACGGCCCAGAAUCCUACGGGAGGCAGCAGUGGGGAAUAUUGCGCAAUGGGCGCAAGCCUGACCCAGCAACGCCGCGUGUAUGAAGAAGGUCUUCGGGUUGUAAAGCACUUUCAGCGGGGAGGCGGUAUCUGAAGAAGAAGCACCGGCUAACUCCGUGCCAGCAGCCGCGGUAAUAC